rnacentral:rRNA from 1 species
GUCUACGACCAUGCCACCCUGAAAAUGCCUGAUCCCGUCUGAUCUCAGAAGCUAAGCAGGGUCAGGCCUAGUUAGUAUGUGGAUGCAAUGCCACCUAGGAAGACCAGGUGCUGUAGGCA